rnacentral:rRNA from 1 species
AUGAUCAGAGGAGCUGGGCUCCUUGCGAGCUCAACCUAUUCUCAAACUUUCAAUGGGUGAGACGUCUCGCUGGCUUCACUGCAGCGACGACUCUGAAUCCGAGUGCCCAGUGGGCCACUUUUGGUAAGCAGAACUGGCGAUGCGGGAUGAACCGCAUGUCGAGUUAAGGUGCCUAAGCGGACGCAAAUCAGAUACCAUGAAAGGUGUUGAUUGCUCACGACAGCAGGACGGUGGCCAUGGAAGUCGGCAUCCGCUAAGGAGUGUGUAACAACUCACCUGCCGAAGCAAUCAGCCCUGAAAAUGGAUGGCGCUAAAGCGUUCCACCGAUACUCGACCGUCGUCGGCACGCGACCGGCCUUCCCAGUGCCGGUCUCAGGCCACGACGAGUAGGGCGGCGCGGCGGUGAGCGUCGAAGGCGUAGCCGUGAGGCUAGCUGGAGCCGCCGUCGGUGCAGAUCUUGGUGGUAGUAGCAAAUACACAAGCAAGAUCCUUGUGGACCGAUGUGGAGAAGGGUUCCGCGCGAACAGUACUUGGACGUGGGUGAGUCGGCCCUAAGCCAACGGGUAAUUCCCGCAUCCCGC